rnacentral:rRNA from 2 species
ACGAACGCUGGCGGCGUGCUUAACACAUGCAAGUCGAACGGUGAAAGAGGGAGCUUGCUUCUUCUGGAUCAGUGGCGAACGGGUGAGUAACACGUGAGCAAUCUGCCCUUGACUCUGGGAUAAGCGUUGGAAACGACGUCUAAUACCGGAUACGAGCUGCGAAGGCAUCUUCAGCAGUUGGAAAGAAUUUUGGUCAAGGAUGAGCUCGCGGCCUAUCAGCUAGUUGGUGAGGUAAUGGCUCACCAAGGCGACGACGGGUAGCCG